rnacentral:misc_RNA from 1 species
UCCGAGUUGACCCCGGCAGUCUCCUAUGAGUCCCCACCAUUACGUGCUGGCAACAUAGAACGAGGGUUGCGCUCGUUGCGGGACUUAACCCAACAUCUCACGACACGAGCUGACGACAGCCAUGCAGCAUCUGUGCACGGACUCCGAAGAGCGACCCUGAUCUCUCAAGGUCUUCCCGUGCAUGUCAAGGCCAGGUAAGGUUCUUCGCGUUGCAUCGAAUUAAACCACAUGCUCCGCUGCUUGUGCGGGUCCCCGUCAAUUCCUUUGAGUUUUAGCCUUGCGGCCGUACUCCCCAGGCGGGGCACUUAAUGCGUUAGCUCCGGCACGGGAGGAGUCGACACCUCCCACACCUAGUGCCCAUCGUUUACGGCGUGGACUAC